GACGAACGCUGGCGGCGUGCUUAACGCAUGCAAGUCGAACGGAAAGGCCCUGCUUUUGUGGGGUGCUCGAGUGGCGAACGGGUGAGUAACACGUGGGUAACCUGCCCUUGACUUUGGGAUAACUUCAGGAAACUGGGGCUAAUACCGGAUAGGAGCUCCUGCUGCAUGGUGGGGGUUGGAAAGUUUCGGCGGUUGGGGAUGGACUCGCGGCUUAUCAGCUUGUUGGUGGGGUAGUGGCUUACCAAGGCUUUGACGGGUAGCCGGCCUGAGAGGGUGACCGGCCACAUUGGGACUGAGAUACGGCCCAGACUCCUACGGGAGGCAGCAGUGGGGAAUAUUGCACAAUGGGCGGAAGCCUGAUGCAGCAACGCCGCGUGCGGGAUGACGGCCUUCGGGUUGUAAACCGCUUUCGCCUGUGACGAAGCGUGAGUGACGGUAAUGGGUAAAGAAGCACCGGCUAACUACGU
rnacentral:rRNA from 1 species